GACGAACGCUGGCGGCGUGCUUAACACAUGCAAGUCGAACGGAAAGGCCCUGCUUUUGUGGGGUGCUCGAGUGGCGAACGGGUGAGUAACACGUGAGUAACCUGCCCUUGACUUUGGGAAAACUUCAGGAAACUGGGGCUAAUACCGGAUAGGAGCUCCUGCUGCAUGGUGGGGGUUGGAAAGUUUCGGCGGUUGGGGAUGGACUCGCGGCUUAUCAGCUUGUUGGUGGGGUAGUGGCUUACCAAGGCUUUGACGGGUAGCCGGCCUGAGAGGGUGACCGGCCACAUUGGGACUGAGAUACGGCCCAGACUCCUACGGGAGGCAGCAGUGGGGAAUAUUGCACAAUGGGCGGAAGCCUGAUGCAGCAACGCCGCGUGCGGGAUGACGGCCUUCGGGUUGUAAACCGCUUUCGCCUGUGACGAAGCGUGAGUGACGGUAAUGGGUAAAGAAGCACCAGCUAACUACGUG
rnacentral:rRNA from 1 species